CCUACGGGUGGCAGCAGUGAGGAAUAUUGGUCAAUGGGCGAGAGCCUGAACCAGCCAAGUCGCGUGAGGGAGUACUGCCCUAUGGGUUGUAAACCUCUUUUGUCGGGGAGCAAAAGCCGGACGUGUCCGGCUGUGAGAGUACCAGAAGAAAAAGCAUCGGCUCACUCCGGUCCAGCAGCCGCGGUAAUACGAGGGGUGCGAGCGUUAACCGGAUUUAUUGGGGUUAAAGGGGGGUCAGGCGGGUUUUUACGUCGGCGGUCAAAUGGUGGGGCUUAACCGCAUCCAGCCGUUAAAAUUGGGGAUCUAGAGUGUGCGAGAGGUAUGCGGAAUGCGUGGUGUAGCGGUGAAAUGCAUAGAUAUCACGCAGAACCCCGAUUGCGAAGGCAGCAUACCGGUGCACAUCUGACGCUCAGGCACGAAAGCGUGGGUAUCGAACAGGAUUAGAUACCCCUGUAGUC
rnacentral:rRNA from 1 species